rnacentral:tRNA from 1 species
GCCUUCGUGAUUUAGUGGUCAGCACGCUGGACGUGCAAUCGAGAGGUCCGUGGUUCGAUUCCCAGCGAAGGCG